rnacentral:lncRNA from 1 species
UGAGCUAUUCAUAUUAAGUAUACUACAACAACAAUUGAUUAGAUCUGUUAUUGGCUUUGCUGAAAUUACUGUAAGGUAAAUAUUUAUGGUAUAUUAGGAUUCAUAAUUUUCAAUAACAACUAAUAUAUCAGGGCAUACACAAGAGCAAUUAAUCUGCCAUCUAAGCAACCACCUUUAACAUAAGAGCUUAGUUAAAGAUUAAAAAAAAAAAAGGGAAGACGCAAGUUUUGGUACUCCAAGCCAAAGACAGGCCAUUUAUUUAAGUGUAUCAGCAACACUAUAUCAUAUAUUUGAGUUACUUGGCCUGACUGUCAUUAAACCAUGAUUAAGAUGCUCCCAAUGUCUAGCCCACUUUGAAGGUCUUCCAUUUGCACAGUUCAAACCCCUUGUGCUUCUGCUGGAAGUAGCCAUCAGCUUCCACAUUGACGGUAGUUUCUUCAUAAACCACGCAGUUCUCAUCCCUUGUUUCUUCAAUGGUUUCCUCAUGCUCAACCACCUGAACCUUCUUUUGAGAGUCAACAUCUUCCUCAAAGGUGUACUUGUUGUUGAAGGCCUUGUGGACAUUUGGGUAUUGAGGUGCAUCAGGGAUGAUGGUGGCCGAUCUUUCCAUUCUGGAAAGAUGAGCAUGGUAGUCCUGGGACGUGGUGUCCCAUCCCGAAUUCUGUCUGGGAGUAUAGCCGGAGCUCCUUCUCAUUGUUGUAUCUACUCUCUUCCCUUCACAGCUAUGAGUAAGCCUGUAAUAUUGGAAACUGC